CUACACUGAGGACGAGCCUGUUGGGAAAUGUUUAUAUGGAGCUCUGAGAGAGGAUCAGGUUCAGGGUAGGACAGAGGACGUGGACAGAUAUCAUGACUAAAUAAGGUGGCGAUACUGCCGUGUGAUUGGACACAGCCAGCCAUCACCUGACUCUGUGGCUCUGAGUCUCACCUGAAGCUGAACCUGGAACACACCUGUACAGAUCAGAGCUCAGAACUCAGCUUCCCUCAGUAACAAUAACAGGCGAGUUCAGGUUUAGAGCGCUUUUAACUACUGAAUUAAUAACGCUGGAGGAUUAAACUCUGUAAACUGAAGCUGUGCGGAGGUGUGUUUACCCACCUGAGAGAGAGAGAGAGAGAAGCAUCUUCGGACACGGGAUUUACACCGCUGCUGAACAGCGCCACUUACUGGAGACUGCACACUCUAAUUCAUUUUUACUUUACAUUUUAUAUUUUAUAUAAAAUAUUAGAAGACAGAAAACCACGUAUAGUUGACAGUCAACCAGUAAGAGUUUAUAUAAUUUACAUAAAUGCAUUAAUAAAAUAUGCUUUAAUAAAAAAAAAAGUAGCAAGUAAAAAAUAUAUAGUUUAAGAGGCAUUCACAAUAUUAUCACGUUUUUGUAUAGUUUUUAAAUGUGUCCUAUUAUUAACUACUAGAAUUCAAUAGUAAGGCAAAGUCUAUUCAAACUUUGGUAUUGAAGUGAAAAAUGUACAUUUGUGUAUAAAGUAUUUAAUAAAAAAACUGAUAAUGUACAAUAUACUCCAUGUCCUGAUCAGCAUUUGCAUAAAAAUGUGUAUUGUAUCACCAAAAUGUAGGUAAAAAAAAAGCGUUGAUUUUCUUUGAAAAUGUGAGGUGAUUUAAUUGGGAUGAGCUGAAGCUUCACAGCGUGAAGGAAAAGCAGCAACUAUUAUUCAGCACCUCCAGGAACUCCUUCCUUCAAGACGCUGAGAAAACAAUUCCAGGGCCGCAGAGACGCAGAGUGGCGCUGAUAAACAGGUGAGACAGGAAACACUUUAGUCGUUUUUGAUGGGGUCAUAUAACAGAUUAUUAGUGUUAAUGCAGUAAAACUGCUGAUAAACACAGCCGAAUUUGUUCAUAUCAAAUGUUCAGUGUUUUCCCCCAGACUCAGACUGAAAAGAACAGGUUUGAACAGAUACAGAUAUGUUCUCUUUAUUGCUUACACACAGUACACACACACACACCUCAGUCCAGUCAGAGCUGAAGCUGCACUUAUUAUUAAAAACAACAGCACAGUAUUUCCUCUUAUAUUUCCUCUGACAGAAGAAAAGGUUGUGACCCUGCGGUUUACAGAUUCCAGACUGUGGUUUUACAGAGAAAGAGAGAGAGAGAGAACAAUGCUGACUGCAGUAAGCAAGCUCUGGAAAAAAAA